rnacentral:rRNA from 1 species
CACACGACCGUACCGCAAACCGACACUGGUGCGCGAGAUGAGUAUUCUAAGGCGCUUGAGAGAACUCAGGAGAAGGAACUCGGCAAAUUGACACCGUAACUUCGGAAGAAGGUGUGCCUUUAGUAGGUGAAGUCCCUCGCGGAUGGAGCCCAAUGAGGUUGCAAAAAAUCGGUGGCUGCGACUGUUUAUUAAAAACACAGCACUCUGCAAACACGAAAGUGGACGUAUAGGGUGUGACGCCUGCCCGGUGCUGGAAGAUUAAAUGAUGGGGUGCAAGCUCUUGAUUGAAGUCCCAGUAAACGGCGGCCGUAACAAUAACGGUCCUAAGGUAGCGAAAUUCCUUGUCGGGUAAGUUCCGACCUGCACGAAUGGCGUAACGAUGGCCACACUGUCUCCUCCUGAGACUCAGCGAAGUUGAAAUGUUUGUGAUGAUGCAAUCUCCCCGCGGAAAGACGGAAAGACCCCAUGAACCUUUACUGUAGCUUUGUAUUGGACUUUGAACAGAUCUGUGUAGGAUAGGUGGGAGGCUUUGAAGCAGGGUCGCUAGAUCUUGUGGAGCCAACGUUGAAAUACCACCCUGGUGUGUUUGAGGUUCUAACCUAGGCCCGUAAUCCGGGUUGGGGACAGUGCAUGGUAGGCAGUUUGACUGGGGCGGUCUCCUCCCAAAGUGUAACGGAGGAGUUCGAAGGUACGCUAGUUACGGUCGGACAUCGUGACGAUAGUGCAAUGGCAUAAGCGUGCUUAACUGCGAGACUGACAAGUCGAGCAGAUGCGAAAGCAGGACAUAGUGAUCCGGUGGUUCUGUAUGGAAGGGCCAUCGCUCAACGGAUAAAAGGUACUCUGGGGAUAACAGGCUGAUACCGCCCAAGAGUUCAUAUCGACGGCGGUGUUUGGCACCUCGAUGUCGGCUCAUCUCAUCCUGGGGCUGUAGCCGGUCCCAAGGGUAUGGCUGUUCGCCAUUUAAAGAGGUACGUGAGCUGGGUUUAAAACGUCGUGAGACAGUUUGGUCCCUAUCUUCCGUGGGCGCUGCAGAUUUGAGGAAGCCUGCUCCUAGUACGAGAGGACCGGAGUGGACGCACCUCUGGUGUAUCGGUUGUCACGCCAGUGGCAUUGCCGAGUAGCUAUGUGCGGAAGAGAUAACCGCUGAAAGCAUCUAAGCGGGAAACUCAUUUCAAGAUGAGAUCUGCCGGGGCCUUGAGCCCCCUGAAGAGUCGUUCAAGACCAGGACGUUGAUAGGUCGGGUGUGGAAGCGCAGUAAUGCGUUAAGCUAACCGAUACUAAUUGCUCGUGCGGCUUGACC